rnacentral:rRNA from 1 species
UACAGAGGUGGCAAGCGUUGUUCGGAAUUACUGGGCGUAAAGGGCGCGUAGGCGGUUCGUUAAGUCCUGUGUGAAAUCCCUCGGCUCAACCGGGGAACUGCGUCUGAUACUGGAUGGCUUGAGUGUGGGAGAGGGAUGCGGAAUUCCAGGUGUAGCGGUGAAAUGCGUAGAUAUCUGGAGGAACACCGGUGGCGAAGGCGGCAUCCUGGACCGAUAUUGACGCUGAUGCGCGAAAGCCGGGGGAGCAAACGGG